AGGAUGAACGCUGGCGGCGUGCUUAACACAUGCAAGUCGAACGGUGACAGAGAGCUUGCUCUCUUGAUCAGUGGCGAACGGGUGAGUAACACGUGAGCAAUCUGCCCCUGACUCUGGGAUAAGCGCUGGAAACGGCGUCUAAUACCGGAUACGAGCUGCGAAGGCAUCUUCAGCAGUUGGAAAGAACUUCGGUCAGGGAUGAGCUCGCGGCCUAUCAGCUAGUUGGUGAGGUAAUGGCUCACCAAGGCGUCGACGGGUAGUCGGCCUGAGAGGGUGACCGGCCACACUGGGACUGAGACACGGCCCAGACUCCUACGGGAGGCAGCAGUGGGGAAUAUUGCACAAUGGGCGCAAGCCUGAUGCAGCAACGCCGCGUGAGGACGACGGCCUUCGGUGUAAACCUCUUUAGCAGGAAGAAGCGAAGUGACGGUACUGCAGAAAAGCACGGCUAACUACGUGCCAGCAGCCGA
rnacentral:rRNA from 1 species